AUUGAACGCUGGCGGCAUGCUUUACACAUGCAAGUCGAACGGUAACAGGUUAAGCUGACGAGUGGCGAACGGGUGAGUAAUGCAUCGGAACGUGCCCGGUCGUGGGGGAUAACGCAGCGAAAGCUGCGCUAAUACCGCAUACGAUCUGAGGAUGAAAGCGGGGGACCGUAAGGCCUCGCGCGCUCGGAGCGGCCGAUGUCAGAUUAGGUAGUUGGUGGGGUAAAGGCUCACCAAGCCAACGAUCUGUAGCUGGUCUGAGAGGACGACCAGCCACACUGGGACUGAGACACGGCCCAGACUCCUCCGGGAGGCAGCAGUGGGGAAUUUUGGACAAUGGGCGAAAGCCUGAUCCAGCAAUGCCGCGUGCAGGAAGAAGGCCUUCGGGUUGUAAACUGCUUUUGUACGGAGCGAAAAGGUCUCCUCUAAUACAGGGGGCUCAUGACGGUACCGUAAGAAUAAGCACCGGCUAACUACGUGCCAGCCGCCGCGGUAA
rnacentral:rRNA from 1 species